AGUCAGGAUGGCCGAGUGGUCUAAGGCGCCAGACUCAAGUUCUGGUCCUCUAACGAGGGCGUGGGUUCAAAUCCCACUUCUGACAUUAAAACGG
rnacentral:tRNA from 1 species